UACGUAGGGUGCGAGCGUUAAUCGGAACUACUGGGCGUAAAGCGUGCGCAGGCGGUUUUGCAAGCCGGAUGUGAAAUCCCCGGGCUUAACCUGGGAAUGGCAUUUGGGACUGCAAGGCUGGAGUGCGGCAGAGGAGACUGGAAUUCCUGGUGUAGCAGUGAAAUGCGUAGAUAUCAGGAGGAACACCGAUGGCGAAGGCAGGUCUCUGGGCUGACACUGACGCUCAUGCACGAAAGCGUGGGGAGCAAACAGG
rnacentral:rRNA from 1 species